rnacentral:lncRNA from 1 species
CUCUUCCAUCAUAGAAGCUCAUCCGAAAUUCAUCCGCUGGAGAAGUUCGGACGGGCUUCGGCUCUCGCGAAAGGUCGAAAAGGGACCGCUUAUUGCGGAAGCUCGGGCGAGGACCAGUUGUUGUGGAAGCUUGGAGUAGUGUCCUGCUAUAGAAGCUCAUCCAGGGCUCACUCGCUACGGGGUAGCUCGGUUGAAGUCUACCUGUGGUAGAAAUUCAGAAGAAAUUUAUUUAUGAUAGAGGCUUGAGUCAGAAUUUGCUUACAAUAGAGGUCCAGGGUAGAUCGCCCGCUGUAGGGGUUUGGAGUAGACCGCUCGUAGCAGGAGUUCGGAGAAGACCGCUCGUAGUAGAAGGUUGGCUCUCGUAGGAGCUCGGCUGGAACUGCUCGUAGCAGGAGUUCGGAGAAGACCGCUCGUAGUAGAAGGUCGGCUCUCGCAGGAGCUCGACUGGAAUCCUGAAGGCGGUCGACCACCGUAGAAACUUGGAAGGAGUCUGGUUACCGUAGAAAUCUCGUUAUCGGGGAAG